CAGCAUUGUUUAAACAUUUCUGUGUUUUUCUUGCAUCAUGAUGAAAUCAUACUGAAUUACCUGCUGCAGGUUUUCUGCAAGUCAUUCACCAAAGGGUCACGAGGUCACAAGUGCAGUCUGUGAGCAUAUUUUCCUUUGGUUCUUUCAAUUUCAUUGUAGGUCUUUUUUUGCUUGUCCAACAUUUUUACUAACACUUCCCUAAUUUUUCUUGCCCGAGUCCUGCACCUUUCUAUCAGUCUUUAUUUAUUUUUUAUUUUUCUAGUAAAAGAUCAAACAUUUUAAUGGCUACAAGAAGGAAGAAAUAAAAAUGUGUGUGGCAGGUUGUGGUUCUGUUGGUUACUGCCCAAGAAAUUCCAAGUUUCAGUUUUCAGAAUUUAAUGAUUGGACUUGUUUUCCAGCUUAAUAACUUAUACCUCAGCCUCCUGAUCGGUUAUGGGGUUUCAUAGGGUUAAUGUAAUGUAAAUCACUGGAGCUAUUAGUUUUGUAUGUUCUACUAAAUAGUAGAGUCAGAUAAUUCAUUUUUUAAUUUCCUCAUAUUGUUUUUAGAUCGUACAGGCCGAGAAUGAUCUACAGCUGCAAGAUGCAGUUGCACAGGCAGCCAGCUUGAUCAGUCUUGCUGGUCACAAUGUUUGCAUAACACUUCAAAACAAACAAGAAACUGCUCACUGGUUCAGAGAUGGCUUGAGGUCUGUAGCUCUCCUAGAUGCUCUACAGACAUACCCUCUUCAGAUGAAGUGUCUUUUCGUGAAAGCUGGAAUGGCUCUGAGAGCAACUGAUAGGGAGAAUCUAUUCCAGAUCAUUCACUCCGAUCGAGGGAGUAAUGCACUACGAGUGCCGGACUCUGGCUUUCUGGCAAGACUAUCUUCAGGAGGCAGAAUUUGAAAGUGAUGUCUCUUUGGAAGAUAUUCUUGUUUUCUGCACUGGAUGUGACAGCAUACCAGCCCUGGGUUUCUCUCCAAAGCCAAGCCUUGAGUUCGUCACUAACUGCAGAUUUCCAGUGGCCAAUACUUGUGAAAAUAUCCUUUGUAUACCAGUUCAUGCAGUCUACACUACUUUCAAAUCAGACAUGGAUUUUGCAAUACGGAAUUCACCAGGAUUUGGAAGAGCAUGAUGUGUUUUCUUAAGGAUUGGUGACAUGAUGAGGAUUUGGUUUUUUUUUUCUAUUUUGCAUAUGCAUUUUUUAUUUUCCUUUUUUUGUUAAUGUUGUUAACCCGCAUCAGAGUACACCCUGGACAGCAGUAGGACUGUAUAGCCUAAAUAAGCUUCAUGUGUGUCUUUCAAAUUACAGCUUAAAUACCAGUUCAUGCAGUGUACACUACUUUCAAAUCAGACAUGGAUUUGAUAAGCCGAAGAGAAUGGAUGGAAUAAUUUUGUUUCAGUUUAUACAUGUGAGGCAUUUUUUGUUUUGUGAUUGUAGUUAAUUAGUUUUCCUGCUUAUAUGGCAUGUUUUGUCUCUGAUAUGUAGUUCUAAAUAAAUUCAAACGGCAUUUAGGACGUUUUU